UACGUAGGGCGCAAGCGUUGUCCGGAAUACUGGGCGUAAAGCGCACGUAGGUGGCGACGUAAGUCGGGUGUGAAAGCCCCGGGCUCAACCUGGGAAUUGCAUUCGAGACUGCAUUGCUGGAGUACGGAAGAGGAGGGCGGAAUUCCCGGUGUAGCGGUGAAAUGCGUAGAUAUCGGGAGGAACAUCAGUGGCGAAGGCGGCCCUCUGGUCCAGUACUGACACUCAAGUGCGAAAGCGUGGGGAGCAAACAGG
rnacentral:rRNA from 1 species